UUUCUAUGUUAGUUGAGUAAGGAUGCUGACCUACUGAUCGGAUCUCCAGCCCAGGACUAUGGUUUUCCAAUAGUUAGAGGUCAUUGAUCCUGAAGGAAAAUUUUUUGCCUAAGAAUUGGAGCUGCCUGAUCUCUACAUAUUGCAAAUGGUCUGACCUUUUCAUUCAAUAGUCACUAGGCAUGGACAGCCUGGUUCUGAGUGUGCAAAGCUGUGGCUUCCCCUCCUAUAGACGCCUUCUGAACAGCAAAUCUGACUUCCUCCUCAGACCAAGGCAUCCUGAAAACAUCCAAGCAGAGGAAGCAUUUUUUCACCAUGACAUGGGAAAGGGCCACAGAGAUCCAAAUGGAAACGGACAUUUCAUACCAAUGCAUUGGAUGAUAACUGGUACAUCGUCAAGGGACAGAAGUGUCAACAGCUUGUCCUCAGGUCCUCAAGAGUCAUAA
rnacentral:lncRNA from 1 species